rnacentral:rRNA from 1 species
AUUGAACGCUGGCGGCAGGCCUAACACAUGCAAGUCGAACGAGUGGCGGACGGGUGCGUAAUGUCUGGGAAACUGCCUGAUGGAGGGGGAUAACUACUGGAAACGGUAGCUAAUACCGCAUACCAUCGGAUGUGCACAGAUGGGAUUAGCUAGUAGGUGGGGUAAAGGAUGACCUAGGCGACGAUCCCUAGCUGGUCUGAGAGGAUGACCACACAAACGGGAACUGAGACACGGUCCAGACUCCUACGGGAGGCAGCAGUGGUGACUAUUGCACAUUGGUCGCAAGCCUGAUGCAGCCAUGCCGCGUGUGUGAAGAAGGCCUUCGGGUUGUAAAGCACUUUCAGUGAGGAGGCGUUACUCGCAGAAUAAGCACCGGCUAACUCCGUGCCAGCAGCCGCGGUAAUAC